ACGAACGCUGGCGGCGUGCUUAACACAUGCAAGUCGAGUGCGCGCCUGUAGCAAUACAGGUGGCGCACGGCGCACGGGUGCGUAACACGUGGGUAAUCUGCCCUCUGAUGGGGAAUAACCCGCCGAAAGGCGGGCUAAUACCGCAUAACAUUCCUUGGAUUUCGAUUCGAGGACUCAAAGGCGUAAGUCGUCGGAGGAGGAGCCCGCGCACGAUUAGCUAGUUGGUAGGGUAAUGGCCUACCAAGGCUUUGAUCGUUAGCUGGUCUGAGAGGAUGGCCAGCCACACUGGAACUGAGACACGGUCCAGACUCCUACGGGAGGCAGCAGUGGGGAAUCUUGCACAAUGGGCGAAAGCCUGAUGCAGCGACGCCGCGUGGGGGAUGAAGCAUUUCGGUGUGUAAACCCCUUUCGAUCCGGACGAAUGCCUCGCAAGAGGAGUGACGGUACGGAUAUAAGAAGCCCCGGCUAACUACGUGCCAGCAGCCGCGGUAAGACGUAGGGGGCCCAGCGUUGUUCGGAAUUACUGGGUGUAAAGGGUUCGUAGCGGUGUGCCAAGUUGGGUGUGAAAUCUCUGGGCUCACCCAGAGACUGCUUCCAAACUGCUGUGCUUGAGUGUGAAAAAGCCCCGUGAAUUGCAGGUGUAGCGGUGAAUGCGUAAUAUCUGCAGAACACCCGUGGCGGAAGCGGCGAGCUGGAUCACUACUGACGCUGAGGACCGAAGCUAGGGAGCCACAGGAUUAGAUACCC
rnacentral:rRNA from 1 species